GAUGAACGCUGGCGGCGUGCCUAAUACAUGCAAGUCGAGCGAACAGACGAGGAGCUUGCUCCUCUGACGUUAGCGGCGGACGGGUGAGUAACACGUGUAUAACCUACCUAUAAGACUGGGAUAACUUCGGGAAACCGGAGCUAAUACCGGAUAAUAUAUUGAACCGCAUGGUUCAAUAGUGAAAGACGGUUUUGCUGUCACUUAUAGAUGGAUCCGCGCCGCAUUAGCUAGUUGGUAAGGUAACGGCUUACCAAGGCAACGAUGCGUAGCCGACCUGAGAGGGUGAUCGGCCACACUGGAACUGAGACACGGUCCAGACUCCUACGGGAGGCAGCAGUAGGGAAUCUUCCGCAAUGGGCGAAAGCCUGACGGAGCAACGCCGCGUGAGUGAUGAAGGUCUUCGGAUCGUAAAGCUCUGUUAUUAGGGAAGAACAAAUGUGUAAGUAAAUAUGCACGUCUUGACGGUACCUAAUCAGAAAGCCCCGGCUAACUACGUG
rnacentral:rRNA from 1 species